GAUGAACGCUGACAGCAUGCUUAACACAUCAGCAAUGGAUUGGUGGCGGACGGGGGAGUAACGCGUAGAGAACUUGCCGCACAGCUAGGGACAAUAUUUGGAAACGAAUGCUAAUACCCAAUACUGUGGGAGAGCUUUGCGUCCCAUUAGCUAGUUGGAGAGGUAACGGCUCACCAAGGCGAGGAUGGGAAGCCGGCCUGGGAGGGUGAUCGGGCACAAGGGGCCUGGGACACGACCCGUACUCCUACGGGAGGCAGCAGUGGAGAAUAUUGGACAAAAGGCCAAAGUCUGAUCCAGCAAUUCUGUGUGCACGAUGAAGUUUUCGGAAUGUAAAGUGAUUUCAGUUGGGAAGCGGUACCAACAGAAGAAGUGACGGCUAACUACGUGCCAGCAGCCGCGGUAAUAC
rnacentral:rRNA from 1 species